UACAGAGGUCUCAAGCGUUUGUUCGGAUUCAUUGGGCGUAAAGGGUGUGUAGGUGGCGCGCUAAGUCGGGUGUGAAAUUUCGGAGCUUAACUCCGAAACUGCAUUCGAUACUGGCGUGCUUGAGGACUGGAGAGGAGACUGGAAUUUACGGUGUAGCAGUGAAAUGCGUAGAUAUCGUAAGGAAGACCAGUGGCGAAGGCGGGUCUCUGGACAGUUCCUGAUCACUGAGACACGGAAGGCCAGGGGAGCAAACGGG
rnacentral:rRNA from 1 species